rnacentral:rRNA from 1 species
AUUGAACGCUGGCGGCAGGCCUAACACAUGCAAGUCGAACGAGUGGCGGACGGGUGAGUAAUGUCUGGGAAACUGCCUGAUGGAGGGGGAUAACUACUGGAAACGGUAGCUAAUACCGCAUACCAUCAGAUGUGCCCAGAUGGGAUUAGCUAGUUGGUGGGGUAACGGCUCACCAAGGCGACGAUCCCUAGCUGGUCUGAGAGGAUGACGAGCCACACUGUGACGUAGACUCCGUCCGGCCUCCUACUUGAGGCAUCAGUGGGGACUAUUGCACAAGGGGCGUAAGCCUGAUUCAGCCCGGCCGCGUGUAUGAAUCACGCCUUCGGGUUGUACAGUACUUUCACCGGGGAGUCUUUACCCGCAUAAGAAUCACCGGCUCACUCCGUUCCAGCAGCCGCGGUAAUAC